UGCCAUUCUGCAACUCAUAUUGGUACCCUCAUCUCUGAAGAACUCUAAGCUCCCCUGGAAUUGAGAAUCUUCUUAGUGCAUGGUAAAUGUCAACGUUUUAUAGCAUUACUUGGUAUUUAGGGAAACUACAUGCUAAAUUUGAUUAACAUGUAAACUGCAGAAGGGGUUUAUUUAUUUAUUUAUAAGUAAAUAAUGACUUCCUUAUUGUUCUAACGCACAUAUCAUUCUACAUCAUUAAGCAACAAUUUGAUGAAAGCCUCCUUUGCACGGGAUGGGUCUCGAGGGAUUUGUGAGUGUUCCCAUACCUUAGUGAUUUGUGAAACAUCAAUAACUCAGUGUUUGAUGGAUAUAUCAUAUGCAAGGGGGGCAGCAGCCUCUGCCUCCCCAUGACAUCUCAUCAGUUCAGGUGAAUUAAUCCUGUAAAAAGCAACUGGCGAAAAUAUAGAGCUGGCCAGUCUAAAGCUUCUGUACCAAUUGACGUUGAAGUUUGUGCCCACAGGUCAAGGAAAUUUUGAAGAGGUGGCAUAUAGCGUUGAUGGUUCUGAUGAUACAGUUAGCAAAGGUGUGACUAUCAGAGAUGAUAGUGGAUGUGUUAUAGAUCCUGCUUCAAGGUAGACACCCCUUGCUUUUGAUGCCUUGCAAACUGAAGCUAUUGCAGAUGAAUGUGCCGUGUACUUGACAAAUGCUCUUAUCAUUUACACAUUCAAACUGGCUGGUCUGCCCGCUCAAGGUCUGAAAAUUGGUGCAAGUGUAGUCAUCCUUAGCACUUCAGUUCUUUGUAAAUUUUCAUAUAAUAGCAUGGCAGAGCUUAGAUACAAUAAAGAUCAUUGUAUCUGACCAACUGCUAUCUGACCACCUGCUUUUUCUGCUCAAUAUUAUUUUUCUUCACA